AAUGAACGUUGGCGGCAUGGAUUAGGCAUGCAAGUCGGGGGAAUCCCAGCAAUGGGGGAACCGGCGUAAGGGGCAGUAAGGCAUGGGUACCUACCUUGGGGUUCGGGAUAGCCAUCAGAGAUGGUGGGUAAUACCGGAUGACGUCGUGAGACCAAAGAUUUAUCGCCCUUAGAGGGGCCCAUGUGAUAUUAGCUAGUUGGUGGGGUAACGGCCCACCAAGGCGAAGAUGUCUAGCGGGUGUGAGAGCACGACCCGCGCCACUCGCACUGAGAGACUGGCGAGACACCUACGGGUGGCUGCAGUCGAGGAUCUUCGGCAACGAGCGCAAGCUUGACCGAGCGAUGCCGCGUGAGCGAUGAAGGCCUUCGGGUUGUAAAGCUCUUUAGUGGGGGAGAAAAGCCGCAAGGUGUGAUCUAUCCCAAAAAUAAGCACGGGCUAAGUUCGUGCCAGCCGCCGCAGUAA
rnacentral:rRNA from 1 species